GUCGUAGUCCGGAUUGGAGUCUGCAACUCGACUCCAUGAAGUCGGAAUCGCUAGUAAUCGUGGAUCAGAAUGCCACGGUGAAUACGUUCCCGGGCCUUGUACACACCGCCCGUCACACCAUGGGAGUGGGCUGCAAAAGAAGUAGGUAGUUUAACCUUCGGGGGGACGCUUACCACUUUGUGGUUCAUGACUGGGGUGAAGUCGUAACAAGGUAGCGCUAGGGGAACCUGGCGCUGGAUCACCUCCUUAWACGAUGAU
rnacentral:rRNA from 1 species